GACGGAAGGUGCAAGCGUUGCUCGGAAUCAUUGGGCGUAAAGAGCGUGUAGGCGGUCCGGUAAGUCGGCUGUGAAAGUCCAGGGCUCAACCCUGGAAAGCGGGUGGAUACUGCCGGGCUAGAAUCCGGAAGAGGCGAGUGGAAUUCCUGGUGUAGCGGUGGAAUGCGCAGAUAUCAGGAGGAACACCAAUAGCGAAGGCAGCUCGCUGGGACGGUAUUGACGCUGAGGCGCGAAAGCGUGGGAGCAAACGGG
rnacentral:rRNA from 1 species